AGGUAUGUCAAAUUUUAUAUAUGUAGGGACCAAAUCCAGUUUCAAGUGCACAAGGAAGAACAUAAGGAAAUUCAGAUUUCUUCAAGGACUUGAAACAGAUUCAGUAACUGUGAAAAAAAAUCAGACAAGCGAUUGACAACCAAACUGAAGUUACUGUACAACUCAUUAAUUAUACAAAGACCGGUAAGCAAGUCUAAUGUUUCUGCACAGAAAACUACUUUAAUAGGCAAAGUUAAUAUAAAAUGAUAGGAAAUGUUAGCAAUUUUUUCCCUUAUUAGCACUAUUUAGUUCAUUAAAAGGAAACAAAAUACUAUGAAGCUCGGUAGUGCUACAGUUAUUAUUCCUAUUAUCUUUAACCUGCAAUAACUGAUCAAACGAUGCUGCUUUGUUAUCAAAACAUUUUGUACUAUCCUGAAUGGAGGAGGAGCUAUUUCAGUAGCUCUUGACUUGAAUCAAAAUGCUGCCAAGGUAGCUGCGGCUUUGGAAACUGCUGCAUUCUCCAAAAUCCUGCACUUGUUCUUACUCCAGUUAUCCCAAGAGUCAACUGAAGGCUAAGUGGGAAGAGUAGAAGAAAUUGCUUGAGAAGGCAAGAAAUGACGCUGAGAAGAAAUAUGAUGAAAUAAAUGAGCAGAAUAAAAUACUUCAAAGCCAUCUUGAAGCUUUGCAUAUUCGGAAGUCAAAGAAGGAGCGCAAUGCUGCUGGAAUAUCAUUUGGAAGUAGUAGUGCAGAUACAUUUGGUGAUGUUGGUCUUCAAACUGUGAUGACUUAUCUCCGAAAUUCAAAAGAAAUUGUAAAUACUUGUCAUGUGCAGCAAAUUUGUUUUGCUUGUAUAUUUGUAUAUUAAUUUUAAGUUCUCUACUUUCACAGUCAGAAAUAGAAGUGUCAGUUUUGAUAUUAUUAGUAGUAAAUUCUAAGUGAUAUUAUGGUUAUUUUGAUAUUA